GCCCGGCUAGCUCAAUCGGCAGAGCGUGAGACUCUUAAUCUCAAGGUUGUGGGUUCGACCCCCACGUCGGGCU
rnacentral:tRNA from 1 species